GUCCUUUUGAAGUUUAUCUAAGGUCUGGCCUGCCCACUGAUUUUUGAAGGGCCGCAGUAAUUUGACUGUGCAAAGGUAGCAUAAUCAUUAGUUUUUUAAUUAAAAGCUUGUAUGAAGGGUUGGACGAAAUAAAAUCUGUCUCUAUUUAAGUUAUUAUAGAAUUUAAUUUUUAAGUUAAAAAGCUUAAAUUUAUUUAAAAGACGAGAAGACCCUAUAGAUCUUUAUAUAAAUUUUAAUAAUUUUAAUUAAGAAUAUUUUAUUUAUUAUUAUUAUUUAUAUUUUAUUGGGGUAAUAAAAAGAUUUAAUUAAUUCUUUUUUUAUUAAAACAUUAAUUUAUGAUUAACUGAUCCAAUAUUUUUGAUUAAAAGAUUAAGUUACCUUAGGGAUAACAGCGUAAUUUUUUUAGAGAGUUCAUAUCGAUAAAAAAGUUUGCGACCUCGAUGUUGGAUUAAAAAUUAUCUUAGGCGCAGAAGUUUAAGAUUUUGGUCUGUUCGACCAUUAAAUUUUUACA
rnacentral:rRNA from 1 species